GAUGAACGCUGGCGGCGUGCCUAAUACAUGCAAGUCGAGCGAACAGACUAGGAGCUUGCUCCUCUUACGUUAGCGGCGGACGGGUGAGUAACACGUGGAUAACCUACCUAUAAGACUGGGAUAACUUCGGGAAACCGGAGCUAAUACCGGAUAAUAUAUUGAACCGCAUGGUUCAAUAGUGAAAGACGGUUUUGCUUUCACUUAUAGAUUGAUCCGCGCCGCAUUUGCUAGUUUGUAAGGUAACGGCUUACCAAGGCAACGAUGCGUAGCCGACCUGAGAGGGUGAUCGGCAAAACGGGAACUGAGACACGGUCAAGACUCCUACGGGAGGAAGCAGUAGGGAAUCUUCCGCAAGGGGCGAAAGCUUGACGGAGCAAGGCCGCGGGAGUGAUGAGGGUCUUCGGAUCUUAAAACUUUGUUAGUGGGGAAGAACAAAUGUGUAAGUAAAUAUGCACGUCUUGACGGUACCUAAUCAGAAAGCCACGGCUAACUACGUG
rnacentral:rRNA from 1 species